rnacentral:rRNA from 1 species
GUAUUGAAGCUUCGGUGGAUUUACUGGACGUCGAGCGGCGGACGGGUGAGUAACGGCUGGGAACCUGCCCUGACGAGGGGGAUAACCGUUGGAAACGACGGCUAAUACCGCAUAAUGUCUUGAUUCGUUAGAGUCAGGACCAAAGGUGGCCUCUACAUGUAAGCUAUCGCGUUGGGAUGGGCCCAGUUAGGAUUAGCUAGUUGGUAAGGUAAUGGCUUACCAAGGCAACGAUCCUUAGCUGGUUUGAGAGGAUGAUCA